UAGCUCAGUCAGUUGAGCGUUGCACUAAGAACGCCAAGGUCGCGGGUUCGAUUCCCGC
rnacentral:tRNA from 1 species